rnacentral:lncRNA from 1 species
AUGGUCUCAGUCUAUUUGGGGAAAGUGUUACUGGUGUAAGAGAUAAGCAUACAUGUCUUCCCAACUGCUCCAUCGCCGACUGUCACGCACUUUAUAAACCGAGAUGCGCUCAUUUUGACUUUUUUCCAGAAACCGGAGUUUGACUUUGACUUCCGAUGACCGAAUUCAACAAUUACGAUUCUUCUAUACGGCUUGAAGUCAAAAAGGAAGCAGAGUUUUCCCCAAAUUGAAACCCUAAUACAUUGUUGAGACUUUAACAGCACAAAUUGAGAUCAGAAUCAGUAACGAUGUUUAUUGAUUUCUGAAUAUUUUAUAGAAACUGUGUGUUUUGUGUGCAGAGGAAUUUGAAGCACAUAAGAGAGAG